GUGGCAGUAUCUCAGUGGUAGAGCUCCCCCUUCGUGUGCGGGAAGAUCUGGGUUCGAUUCCCGGCUGCUUUC
rnacentral:tRNA from 1 species